GUUUUAUAUCACAUCUUCCCAUAUUGUUUUCAGAGGAAUGAGGUUUUUAGGUAGGUAGACAAAGCAUUUGUAGGAGGUUAGAUUUGAAUAUAGACAGGGUGGGUUGUUCAGGUGGUUAUUGGAUGGCUUCCAGAAUGUGAUUUGAAGAAUGUCUGUGAGUUCAGGUGGGUCCUGUUCAGUGCCAUAGAUAGAGUCCUCUCUCUGUAGGUCACCAUUACAUAGUAAUUUCGAUUCUGAAUUUCACAUUAAAUUAUUUGAGUGUAUACAGAUCUAAAUUUUAAAAUCUGUACAUAUAUUAUUUUGAUGUAUUAAGAUUAAUAAAUAUUGCUGAUUUAAAUUUUAUUUAUGCAUAUACUUAAAGGACAGAAAUGUCCAGAAAAGUAAUUGUUAAAUAAUAUGUAACUUUUUAACUUUUUAAAUAAAUAACAAGAUUUUUAAUGUGUGUCUCCCUCAGGGUUGUUUAAAGUUUUUUUUUUUUUCCCCUCCCUCAAAUAUAAAUAGUGGUAACUAUAU
rnacentral:lncRNA from 1 species